rnacentral:rRNA from 1 species
GAAAGAUGAAAAGAACUUUGAAAAGAGAGUUAAACAGUACGUGAAAUUGUUGAAAGGGAAACGAUUGAAGCCAGUCGUACCUUCGGGUAAUCAGCCUUUCGGGUGCGAUUCUGUGGAGUGUGAGGAGCUUAAACACCUUCAUGCUUUGCAUAUUUGUGCUCUUGGGUGUACUUGCCCGUGUGGUUGGUUAACAUCAAUUUUGGUUAUCAUAAAAUGAUUGGAGGAAUGUAGCUUCGAUCUCGUAUUGAAGUGUUAUA